UGGAAGACUACUUGUUGACUGAAGUCAAGAAGGAACUACCUGGAAGAUUCUACCUGAGAUAGUGGCAGUUGGUAGCACAUGCUGAGUGGAAAGUUAUGAAUAUUGACUCUAUACCUGGAUUUCAAAUGUUUGCUCCUGGGGUAACGCCCACAAGAUAUUUAGCCUGCACAUCUUGAAGGGACUGUUCAAAUUAAGUGGCUCAUCAAGGAACACUUAACUCACAAUGGAUCAUGGGAAAUGCCUAUCUACACUUAAUGGACUUCCUGCUAUGACUAAGCAAAAUCAUGCAUGGGCAUGUGACAUGUCCCUGGGACCCCAAACACCAUUUUUUACCUGUAAUUUUCCACAGUGAGAAUAAUGGGGAUUCCCUUCACUUGAGAGAAGCUAUAAAAGGUGCUGGAAACAUCUCCAUUUUGCCUAUUUCUUGCUCAAACCCCUGGACUAUGGAUUUAUGCUAAUUGGAGCAUUCUAACCAAGGGACUAAGGACCUUCCAAUCAUUUGGAAGCAACCGGAGACUUGACUUAAGCCAACAGUUUAUUCCAUCACUGCUACAAGCCUGAACCAAGAAUUUUGCAUUUAUUGUAUGUAUUUGAUUCCUUUAACCAAUUUUAACUCUCACCUUUCUUUCUUUCUUUUUAUAAACAAACCUUUAGAUUUUUAGAUACUAAAGGAUUGGCAACAGUGUGAUUAUUUGGUAAGAUCCGAGUUGUAUAUUAACCUGGAUAUGUGGCUGGUCCUUUGGGAUCAAAAGAACUUUUUGUUUGAUAAAAAAUUGGUUUUAAAUAACCACUCAUCUUUAACUCUUGUGUCUGAGUGUUGAAUCCAGGACUGGAAUGCCUAAGGAAACUGCUUUUCUGACUUCUUGUUAGCUAGAGUGGUGAAACAGAAGUUUACUUUUGCGGCUGGUUUGGUAUAUCUUAUGGGAGAAUAACCACGAGUUUUGGAGUUUGUCUGCCCUAUUUCUCAACAGUUUGUCCUGAAUUUGGUAUUCCCAGUUGUAACCCACAAAGGCACAGUUACAGCCUGGCAGUCCCCUCUUCAAAUCACUUUCAUUUUAUUCUUGUAUUUAGGUUCAUACACGUUUUUCCAAACAACUUUUGACUGUUUGUUGAUCUCUGAAAGGUAUUUGUUGUGAAGCUUCUGUUUCUCAAAACAAGUUUUAACCAACUCAUUAACAUUAUGAAACAAAAAUACAAACUUUUAUUAUUUAAAGAAAAUAGCUCAAAGAUUACAAUAGUUUUGGUCAUAUUUAAAAGGUCAUCCAUGAAUAAAAAGGAUAGUUGCUGUACAAACAUGGGCACAUACAGUAAGUUUUCAUAUUUGUUAACAGCAGCUAAGUUACACACAGAUAGUUCUUAAUACCAUGCAAGCUCAGUU